rnacentral:snRNA from 1 species
GAGUUCGCCUUCGUAGUCAUUUGGUUAAUUUGAAACAAUACAGAGAUGAUCAGCAGUUCCCCUGCAUAAGGAUGAACCGUUUUACAAAGAGAUUUAACUUUUUUUU